GAGACAGCAGCCGCCGCGGUAAUACGUAGGGUGCGAGCGUUAAUCGGAAUUACUGGGCGUAAAGCGGGCGCAGACGGUUACUUAAGCAGGAUGUGAAAUCCCCGGGCUCAACCUGGGAACUGCGUUCUGAACUGGGUGACUAGAGUGUGUCAGAGGGAGGUAGAAUUCCACGUGUAGCAGUGAAAUGCGUAGAGAUGUGGAGGAAUACCGAUGGCGAAGGCAGCCUCCUGGGAUAACACUGACGUUCAUGCCCGAAAGCGUGGGUAGCAAACAGGAUUAGAUACCCGUGUAGUCCCUGUCUCUUAUAC
rnacentral:rRNA from 1 species